GCCUGCUCGCUGCCACAUGGUCUAACAGAGGUAAUGAGGCCUUGGUCAUUGUAUUUGACCAUUUAUUUUAAAUCCUUUCUUUCAAAGGCUGAAUAGUGUGUGUUCUUUUAGAUUGUUUGAUUGCAGUCUGCACUUUUCCCUGAAGGAAACUUUGAUUGAUGUACCUAAACAGGUAUGAGUGGCCGCAUUUUACUAAUAGACAGCAUCCUAGAAUUGGCAUGAUUUUGAUAUUUCUUAACCGUGCAAUAAUUUCUGUCUGGUUUCCAGGCUCAAUCAGCUUCUGUUUUUGUUUUUUGUUUGUUAGAUCCUGUUUUCUCUUUUUUUAUUAUAAAUAGUUUUAUUGUAAUUAUUUAGUUAUUUUUAAAUUUUUCUUUUUUUUUUUUUUGUCUGUUAGAACCUUUUUUUUGUCUUUUAGAGUUUGUUUUUGUUUUGUUAGCUUUUUAGUGAUUGUGAUUAAAGAGACAUUUUAGCCCGACCAAGGUUUUUUAUUUUUUAUUUUUUUUAAAUCAUUUCUUUUUGUAUAACUUGUUUUUUCUUUCUCAUCCCCUACAGUGCAGUAGUGGCUGGCUAGCAGUAGAGGCUAGGCACAUUUGAUGGUUCCCCACACCUUUUUGUUGCAGUGGUCGGCGCACUGGAGCACCAUAGUCUACACCAGUUUGCAUUGAGUUCACAUGUGGUGGCUAAGUGCUCUCCUGGAACACUUCCUUUGGUAGACUGCCUCCCUCUUGCUAGCUCCCACUCCCUGCCCCCUUCCCUUUUUGUUAGUUUUAACUAUCUGGAAGUGUUUUAUUGAUUAAUUGUUCAAAGAAUCACUUGUAAUAAACUUAAGCAAUCAACUUAUUCAAUAACAGACUCAAACCUUUAUUACCAAUUCACCACUAACUCCCUUUUGUGUCUUUCAGCAGACACUUCCAGGUCCAAG